rnacentral:lncRNA from 1 species
GGGGGAGGGGCGGGAAGAGACGUUGGGCCGAGCGCGGCAGUUGGGGGAGGAGCCUCCUAGUCCCGCCCCCGGAGCGCGCCCCCGCCGCGGGCCCGCGCGCUUCGGCCGCCAUUUUGGGCAGAGCUUUGUUGUGGUUGUGAGGCGGCCGGCAGCGGGGGCGACGCGAGGCCCGACCAGUUGAGUCCUGUGGCUUCUUCAGAGAUUGGUUGAUGAUGGAAAUGCACUGGAUACAAGAAGCAGACUCUACUUUGUUGCAGUAGGAGCAUUCUUAGCCUUUCUCCUGAUCGUGCCCCCAGUGUUGGGCAGGAGGAGUGACAAAGAUCUCUAAUUGAAGAGAAGAAAAUAUCAUUUGGGAAACUUUUUCUCCCCCAUAUUUCUGCAUUUUAAUUUUGUUUUCGCUUUAUAAAUGGUCAACAUUGAA